UGCAGCUCAGGUUGUGAAAAAAGUAAAGAGGUUGCAAGUUCACGGUCUUGGAUGGUAAAGCUUUCUCUUUCAUGCUGUAUGGUUGCUAGGUAUCUUUAGGUUCGCUCAGUUUCAUGUGUUGUGGUACUGGCAUCUGGAGGUGGUAUGUACUGGAAAUUCUGGAGCUUAAAUAUCAGUAAAAGAGCCACUUCUUCCUCCCAUGUUUGUUAACAUAAUGGUUACUUCAGAAUGUAGGAACAUGCAGACUAUUACUGUUCAUUCUGUAAUUAGUGGUCAAUGAAAAUGAUUUGGCAUCUUUAGGCUUACCAGUUGACCAGAAGUUUUCGUAUAUUGCCAAGGACUUGCUUAGGCUGUUGUAAACUUAUAAUAUCCAGCUUUGAUCAAUAAUCUUGUAGUUAGAUGUUGGAUAAGCAUACUGGGUUAGUGCAUGAGGAGCUGCAUAAACAUACCUGUCUGUGAGCUAGAGUUAACCCUUACCUUUCAUAGCAAGAUAUUUUUCAUUCAAUGAGUUUCUCUACAUGCUCUGGUUUACAGUUCUGCUCUCUGGGGUCCUGCACACAAUCUUGUUUGCUGUAUGGUGGUAAUUAGGUUCUGCUGAGAUCAUGAACAUUUGAUGAUAUCUGCUGUUGAAACUUCGUUAAGAAUGAUGGAAAAGGCAGAAAUGUGAAGUAAAAGGUUCCCUAACCUUUCUCCGAUAUGUCCAUUGUUGGGCAGAUUGAUUUUGGUGGGCUUGGAGAGAUUUACUACCCCUUGACAUCUCCUUUCCCUUUCCUUUUCCUACUAAUCCAAGCUUGAUGUGCGUGGGAGUUUGAUACCAAGAGUCCAUUGCUUGGUACAUUGGCAAAAUCUCAGGACAUCUUGUGUGAGAAUGAGGGUUCAAGUUUAAAGCAGCCACAUGAAGCAAAUAAUUACAAAAUUAAGGUCUAUAAUCAGUCCAACAUUGGGGAAUGACCUUUCUUUUCUAGGGACUUUGGCAUUAAAUUUGAUGCACUUGGCACAAAUCAUUAAAGAGAACCAGACCUCUCGGGUCAAUUUGGAAUUUUGAACUCCAGCCCAAUUCUGAUUCUAAAAAUCCAGCUCAAAUUUGUCCAUUGGCUCUGAGCAUGGAUGGGUCAAGCUUAAUUCUUUCUAAUUUUGUCUUCUGCUUAGCAUCUCUGGUCAUAUUAUCAAUAACUAGGCAUUGUUCCUUUCUUCAAACUGCGGGUUUUUAUUUUUAUUUUUUUUUAAGUUCCUUAUCUUUGGUGGAUUUUGUCACAUCACAUGGAUGAGAAUCAGUGAACCACAUCAGAUUUCCAAGGGACCAUCCAGCUGGUACAGAUACAGAACCAUUUUCUAUGAUUUGAUUUGUACACUGUGAUCAUGUUUGGGUUAACUAGCAAAAUUUAUCAAUUUAAAUAUUGCUGCUUUUUUUGUUUUGGCAAAUCAACCCUUCUAUGUACUUGACUGCAACAAGAGAUACAUGUAUGUUGUUUUGGACUUGCAAAGUCUUCCUUCUUGUACCUUGCUGAGAGGGUUUUGUUGCUUAAUUGUACAUGGCAACACCAGAGGCCUAGCAAAUAAGUCAGUUGAGAUUUUUUAUGUGGUGCUUGGAUCUUGAAUUUGUAGAGAGAAAAGAAAAGGGAAGAGAAAAGUGAAAAAGAAAAGGAAAAUCCAAGAUCCAAACAGUCUUAGUGGGAUAUUUGGGGAUAUUAAGAACACACUUGAAUGUGCCCAAAAGAAAUGAGUUGCUUUAUUGAUAGGAUCAAAUUAGGAGUUGGAAAUUGUUUUGGAUCUCUUCUUGGAAGUUUUGGUAGUGCCAGCUUAUGCUAGUUCUGUUGUCUGACUAAAUCCUGAUCACAAAAACAAUCAUACUGGUGAGGUGGCAGUCAUGGGUGCCCAAUGGUGUGACAACUGAAUUAGACCAUCCAAUCCUGAUUUGGAUUUAGACAUCUCACCAAACUACACAGUGCAUGGGAUUGAAUCUCAAUACACUUGUCAGACAAUGCCACAUUCUUGUUCUCCUUAUAUUUAAGUAAAGCACUUAUUUUGUUAUUCUACUGAAAAGAACUUUCAGCGACUCUUCUAUUGUUUGUCUGCACUUGGUUUCUUUAAAAUUUGAAAUGUGAUUUGGUCAUGUGAGGUGGAUUGUCUUCUGGUGAAGGUAACCAUAUAUUGACAAAGAUAUUUAUGUUUUUUGUGUUUUGAUAAUGGCAACAAAUCAUG